GGGAAUUUCAGGGGGGUACCGAGGUUUGAGGGGCAAAGGGGAGGGGGGUCCAAGGACAUUUUGGGGUGCUGCAGAACAGCGGGGGGGCUGUGGGGGUUUAGGGGGACUGAGCACCCCAUAGAGGGGGACAUUGCCCCCACAGCCACCCUGAGCCCCUCCUGCGGCGGUUUUGGGGCCAAAUCCAGGCACCCCAAAACUUGGAGGAGCCCCAAAACCAGGAGCGACAGAACUCCGGAGAGCUGGAGCACAGAGACCCCAAAACCAGAGAACCAGAGUCCAGAGUCCCCAAAACUCAAAGAACUGGAGUCCAGAGACCCCAAAACCAGGGAACCAGAGCACAGAGACCCCAAAACCCAGAGAACCGGAGUCCAGAGACCCCAAAACCAGAGAACCGGAGUCCAGAGACCCCAAAACCCAGAGAACCAGAGUCCAGAGACCCCAAAACCAGAGAACCGGAGUCCAGAGACCCCAAAACCCAGAGAACCAGCGUCCAGAGACCCCAAAACUCAGAGAACCAGAGCCCAGACACCCCAAAACCUGCGGAGCCAGAGCCCAGACACCCCAAAACCUGCGGAGCCAGAGCCCAGACACCCCAAAACCUGCAGAGCUAUAACCCAGAGACACCAAAACCCAGAGAACCAGAGCCCAGGGACCCUAAAACCCGGAGAACCAGAGCCCAGAAUUCCUGAGAGCCGCAGCCAGGACAGCAGACCCGGAACCCCAAAACCCGGAGAGAUCCCACAACCCCGGGACCCCCCAGUCCAUCUGGGGGGGCAGGACCCACAUCCAGCCCCGAGUGCAGCCAGGAGGGUCCCUCACCCCAGAACGAGCAGUGGGUGAGUACCUGGGACCCCCAAAAUCCAGGGAAGGCCCUGUCUGGCAGU
ensembl:lncRNA